rnacentral:rRNA from 1 species
CAAUAGCGUAUAUUAAAGUUGUUGCAGUUAAAAAGCUCGUAGUUGGAUUUCUGGUGGGAGCGAUCGGUCUGGCGCUUAGCGCGAGUACUUGCAUCGUCUCCGGCCAUCCUUGGGGAGAGUCUGUCUGGCAUUAGGUUGUCGGGCAGAGGAUCCUCAUCGUUUACUGUGAAAAAAUUAGAGUGUUCAAAGCAGGCUUAUGCCGUUGAAUAUAUUAGCAUGGAAUAAUAAGAUAGGACUUUGGUACUAUUUUGUUGGUUUGCGCACCAAAGUAAUGAUUAAUAGGGACAGUUGGGGGUAUUCGUAUUCCGGUGUCAGAGGUGAAAUUCUUGGAUUUACGGAAGACGAACUACUGCGAAAGCAUUUACCAAGGAUGUUUUCAUUAA